GUGCAGGUCCCGAGUCUAGAGAAGGCCGCUUGGUCUGUAUGUGCAGGGCCUGAGUUUAGAGAAGGCGGCUUGGUCCGUAUGUGCAGGGCCCGAGUUUAGAGAAGGUGGCUUGGUCUGUAUGUGCAGGGCCUGAGUCUGGAGAAGGUGGCUUGGUCUGUAUGUGCAGGGCCCGAGUCUAGAGAAGGCCGCUUGGUCUGCCUUCUGCAUGCUCAGAAUCACUGUCAACUCUAGUUACUGCAUCUUGAGCUGCCCUGAGUUCUCCAGAUGCACCCAGAGCCGCUGCCUUUAGCCAUGGCUCGAUGGUCUCACCCCAGGGUUUGGCUUUGGGGACUGGGGCAGGUGCUGUGCAGAGCAGCUUUGAUUCCAGGUCAGAACUUGCUAAUUGGACUUUUUGUUUUCUUGGCACUUGGUCAUUUUUCCCCAAGCAUGAGAAGUUAAAAAAAAAAAGUUUUGCCUUGAUUAUGAGGAAAUUGGUUCCAAAUGCCAUUAAAUCAGGCAUUGCCUCUAGUUUAUGCAAAAUAUCUCAUGAAAAAAUUAGAGCAGCUUUGUGCUUGUGUGAGCUUAUUGUGCAAAAUGCUUUACAAAAAGUCAGGAACCAAUUAUUCCCAGUCACAGCAUGAGUGCAUGAUUUCAGUGUCUUCAAGCUCAGCAUGCUUAGUGAUGAAUAAACGGCUUUAGGCGUAUAUUUUAGUUGCCAUUGACAUUUGUUGAUUCAAUAAGUUGUUCGUUCUCUCAAAGAUUAGAGCUCGUCGAUCAGAGCAGUUAGAAUCCCACAGGCAUGGUUAGCAGAUGUGUGCAAGCUUUUGCACAAAAAGGUAAAAAUGUUAGCUGCUAGAGUGAGCAGCAUAUUGAAAUUGGAAAUGAUUUUAUUCUAAACUCCCUAAGUGGUAGUGUAAAACUAAAGUAAAGACUGUCUUUAGUUGACGAAAGGAGGGUUUGUUUUUGUACGGUUUGGAUAAUUUUAACAUCAUGCUCUCCCCCUCCCAUUUCUCCCACCAUGUCUCUUGAUGUCACUUUGUAGGAAUUAGACUUUAAAAGAUUAAGAAAGACUUAGGGCAGACAUGCCACACUGAUGAUUAAAACACAGAACUU
rnacentral:lncRNA from 10 species